UCCGGGGUCGUCUAACUGGUAGGACAACGGACUUUGGAUCCGUGAACCCAGGUUCGAAUCCUGGCCCCGGAG
rnacentral:tRNA from 1 species